rnacentral:rRNA from 1 species
GUGGGGAAUCUUGCGCAAUGGGCGAAAGCCUGACGCAGCCAUGCCGCGUGAAUGAUGAAGGUCUUAGGAUUGUAAAAUUCUUUCACCGGGGACGAUAAUGACGGUACCCGGAGAAGAAGCCCCGGCUAACUUCGUGCCAGCAGCCGCGGUAAUACGAAGGGGGCUAGCGUUGCUCGGAAUUACUGGGCGUAAAGGGCGCGUAGGCGGACAGUUAAGUUGGGGGUGAAAGCCCAGGGCUCAACCUUGGAAUUGCCUUUGAUACUGGCUGUCUUGAGUACGGGAGAGGUGAGUGGAACUCCGAGUGUAGAGGUGAAAUUCGUAGAUAUUCGGAAGAACACCAGUGGCGAAGGCGACUCACUGGCCCGUUACUGACGCUGAGGCGCGAAAGCGUGGGGAGCAAACAGGAUUAGAAACCCUAGUAGUCC